rnacentral:rRNA from 1 species
UACGUAGGGUGCAAGCGUUGUCCGGAUUUAUUGGGCGUAAAGAGCUCGUAGGCGGUUAAGAAAGUCGGGUGUGAAACCUCCAGGCUCAACCUGGAGACGCCACUCGAUACUUCUUUGACUUGAGUUCGGUAGGGGUAAGCGGAAUUCCUGGUGUAGCGGUGAAAUGCGUAAAUAUCUGGAGGAACACCGGUGGCGAAGGCGGCAUCCUGGACCGACACUGACGCUGAGGGCGCGAAAAGCUAGGGUAGCAAACGGG